rnacentral:lncRNA from 12 species
GUUGCCCUGAACACAUGGAUCUGGUACAAUGGUGUUCAGCGGCACAUCAACAUCCAACACCGAUGCUGGGGUUUAUGAUCCUUGCCCAGCAGCUGGUUCUGGCCUGGUGUCAUCCUGUGAAAGCCCUCAAAUAUUGGGUCUGACCUUCGCUGGGUGAAGAUAUCAGUUCUCCUCCUUUAUAACCUGGCUACCAAGUCACAACAAAGGCCAGCGUCAGAUUAAAUUUUACUUCACAUAACAAACAUGUAUUAUCAAGCCGGCAGAAGAGGCAUCACAAAACCUGUUUGGUAAUCUCAACAAAGCACAGUUCUGUAUCCUUUCAGGAGUUUUGGCAGGAACAUUUCAUGGACAGCUUAGAUGAAGCAAACAAUAAUAUUCUAAGGUAGAAUUCUGCUAACCAUCCAGCUGGAGUCAGGAGAACAAGAAUCCUCUGAAUCAGAGACCGCACCCAGAAUUGUUCAGGAAUGGAGCCCAGGUGAGAGGUGAGCACUUACUGGAUUCUUAUACCCUGUUCCUGUAAGGUGGAAAGCCUCUCUACAGUAUUUUAUUUAGUUCUCUUCUCUUGACUCACAUCACCAACAAAAAGUGUUUCUAACAUCCAGCAUGCUUAUGAUGAUGACGACAGUUGAAGAUAGAAAGGCUUUAGGGCCAGAAAACUGGCCAACUUUGGGAAGAGGGCCAGAGGGGAACAGAGAUGGGAUGGUCAGAGCCAUCUGACCUUGGACUUAACCUUGGUCAAUUUUGCCCUUGGUCUUAGUGAUGAUGUAAUCAUCCAAGAUGACAACCUGGUGCUUCCAGGGGUUUUUGAACUGAGAAGCAAGCCCUGCCCUGUCUGAUGGCAAAGUUAGGAACCUAGCUAGGAAGCUGGCAGCCAUGCUUCAUCCUUGAGAGGAAAGCUGCUUGAGGAGCACAAAGCUGCCCAGUGGCAAGCAAGAAAGAGGGAGGAGAAGUGCCCUGAGAACCUCCAGGUCCGGUUCUACUGAUAACUCAUGCCCAAACCUAUUCCUGCCCCUCUUAUUUGGAUUAUGUGUCCACAAAUUCGCUGUAUUGCCUAAGCUGGCCAAAGUUAAAUUUCUGUCAUUUUUUUAGACCAAACAUGCUUUAAACAAAGCACUAAACAAAGGUGGCAUAAUUAUAGAGCUUGAUAAAAUAAAAGAAACAGAAGCAACA